rnacentral:misc_RNA from 1 species
AAGAAACGCCAGGCAGUGGUAG